rnacentral:tRNA from 1 species
CGGCAUGUAGCGCAGUCUGGUAGCGCACCGUCAUGGGGUGUCGGGGGUCAGAGGUUCAAAUCCUCUCAUGCCGACCA